rnacentral:rRNA from 1 species
UACGUAGGGUGCAAGCGUUAUCCGGAAUUAUUGGGCGUAAAGAGCUCGUAGGCGGUUUGUCGCGUCUGCUGUGAAAACUGGGGGCUCAACCCCCAGCCUGCAGUGGGUACGGGCAGACUAGAGUGCGGUAGGGGAGAAUGGAAUUCCCGGUGUAGCGGUGAAAUGCGCAGAUAUCAGGAAGAACACCCGUGGCUAAGGCGGCUCUCUAGUACGUGACUGACGCUGAGACGCGAAAGCGUGGGGAGCGAACAGG